UAGAACAAGGUUGAUUUUUCGGUUUCGUAUUCGCACUAAUAACGAUGCGAAUUUUAUCGUGUACGGGAAUCAGUGCAUACGGAAGCAUCACGCGUCGUUUAAAAAUAAACUCAAGUCCUGGCUGAUCCAGAGAGCUUUUUGUAGUGUCAAGGAUUUUAUCUGCUACAAUGAUCUGGGCAGCAUCGUUAUCGUAACUUUUGACAGAACUUCCAUCGAUUGACACUGACAGCGGUCUAGACUGCAGACGGUGAACGGGGUAUCGAGUUGCAUAAAGGACACACUGCACAUCCCUAAAGGAAGAGCAAAUGCUUUGUUCACGACGAGGCCGAAGUGUGGCGCGUCCUCAAAACUUACUCCAGUUUACAUGGCGGAUGCUUGCACCAAAGAAUGGUUACAUUUAUCAUAAAACAGAAGAAUAACGCCUCAGUAGUGAGUACUGA